AUUGAACGCUGGCGGCAUGCCUUACACAUGCAAGUCGAACGGUAACGCGGGGCAACCUGGCGACGAGUGGCGAACGGGUGAGUAAUACAUCGGAACGUGCCCAGUAGUGGGGGAUAGCCCGGCGAAAGCCGGAUUAAUACCGCAUACGACCUACGGGUGAAAGGGGGGGAUCGCAAGACCUCCCGCUAUUGGAGCGGCCGAUGUCAGAUUAGGUAGUUGGUGGGGUAAAAGCCUACCAAGCCAACGAUCUGUAGCUGGUCUGAGAGGACGACCAGCCACACUGGGACUGAGACGCGGCCCAGACUCCUACGGGAGGCAGCAGUGGGGAAUUUUGGACAAUGGGCGCAAGCCUGAUCCAGCCAUGCCGCGUGCGGGAAGAAGGCCUUCGGGUUGUAAACCGCUUUUGUCAGGGAAGAAAAGCUCUGGGCUAAUACCCCGGGGUGAUGACGGUACCUGAAGAAUAAGCACCGGCUAACUACGUGCCAGCAGCCGCCGUAA
rnacentral:rRNA from 1 species